GGCCUUCGGGAACUCUGACACAGGUGCUGCAUGGCUGUCGUCAGCUCGUGUCGUGAGAUGUUGGGUUAAGUCCCGUAACGACGCGCAACCCUUGUCCUUAGUUACCAGCACGUUAUGGUGGGCACUCUAAGGAGACUGCCGGUGACAAACCGGAGGAAGGUGGGGAGUGACGUCAAGUCAUCAUGGCCCUUACGGCCUGGGCUACACACGUGCUACAAUGGUCGGUACAAAGGGUUGCCAAGCCGCGAGGUGGAGCUAAUCCCAUAAAACCGAUCGUAGUCCGGAUCGCAGUCUGCAACUCGACUGCGUGAAGUCGGAAUCGCUAGUAAUCGUGAAUCAGAAUGUCACGGUGAAUACGUUCCCGGGCCUU
rnacentral:rRNA from 1 species